rnacentral:rRNA from 1 species
GUAAGUUACUUAUGAAAGCUCCUGGCUAAACUGGGAGAGGUUGAGUGAUACUGCCAGUCUUGAGUGGAUGAGAGGUUAAUGGAAUUCCGCGUGUAGUGGUGAAAUGCGUAGAGAUGCGGAAGAACAUCGGUGGCGAAGGCGAUUAACUGGCAUCCAACUGACACUCAGACGCGAAAGCAUGGGUAGCGAACGGGAUUAGAAACCCCGGUAGUCCAUGCCGUAAACGAUGCACACUAAACGUUCGGUUUCCGAGAGGGGACUGAGUGUUGAAGCUAACGCGAUAAGUGUGCCGCCUAGGGAGUACGGUCGCAAGGCUAAAACUUAAAGGAAUUGACGGGGGCCCGCACAAGCAGCGGAGCGCGUGGUUUAAUUCGAGGAUACGCGAAGAACCUUACCUGGGUUUGACAUCAUACUGGUAGCGAAGCGAAAGCUAAGCGACUCUUCGGAGAGGUAUGACAGGUGCUGCAUGGUUGUCGUCAGCUCGUGCCGUGAGGUGUUCGGUUAAGUCCGCAAACGAGCGCAACCCUCGUCGUUAGUUAUACGUGUCUAGCGAGACUGCCCGUGGCAAACGGGAGGAAGGUGGGGAUGACGUCAAAUCAGCAUGGCCUUUAUAUCCAGGGCUACACACACGCUACAAUGGCGCGUACAACAGGUAGCGAAGCCGCGAGGUGGAGCCAAUCCCCUAAAGCGCGUCUCACUUCGGAUUGUAGGCUGCAACUCGCCUGCAUGAAGUUGGAGUUGCU